GGCUCAGAUUGAACGCUGGCGGCAGGCUUAACACAUGCAAGUCGAGCGGUAACAGGGGUAGCUUGCUACCCGCUGACGAGCGGCGGACGGGUGAGUAAUGCUUAGGAAUCUGCCCAGUAGUGGGGGAUAGCCCGGGGAAACCCGGAUUAAUACCGCAUACGUCCUACGGGAGAAAGCAGGGGAUCUUCGGACCUUGCGCUAUUGGAUGAGCCUAAGUCGGAUUAGCUAGUUGGUGGGGUAAAGGCCUACCAAGGCGACGAUCCGUAGCUGGUCUGAGAGGAUGAUCAGCCACAUCGGGACUGAGACACGGCCCGAACUCCUACGGGAGGCAGCAGUGGGGAAUAUUGGACAAUGGGGGCAACCCUGAUCCAGCCAUGCCGCGUGUGUGAAGAAGGCUUUCGGGUUGUAAAGCACUUUCAGUAGGGAGGAAAACCUUAUGGCUAAUACCCAUGAGGCUUGACGUUACCUACAGAAGAA
rnacentral:rRNA from 2 species